GAUAAACGCUGGCGGCGUGCCUAAUACAUGCAAGUCGAGCGAACGGACGAGAAGCUUGCUUCUCUGAUGUUAGCGGCGGACGGGUGAGUAGCACGUGGAUAACCUACCUAUAAGACUGGGAUAACUUCGGGAAACCGGAGCUAAUACCGGAUAAUAUUUUGAACCGCAUGGUUCAAAAGUGAAAGACGGUCUUGCUGUCACUUAUAGAUGGAUCCGCGCUGCAUUAGCUAGUUGGUAAGGUAACGGCUUACCAAGGCAACGAUGCAUAGCCGACCUGAGAGGGUGAUCGGCCACACUGGAACUGAGACACGGUCCAGACUCCUACGGGAGGCAGCAGUAGGGAAUCUUCCGCAAUGGGCGAAAGCCUGACGGAGCAACGCCGCGUGAGUGAUGAAGGUCUUCGGAUCGUAAAACUCUGUUAUUAGGGAAGAACAUAUGUGUAAGUAACUGUGCACAUCUUGACGGUACCUAAUCAGAAAGCCACGGCUAACUACGUGCCAGCAGCCGCGGUAAUACGUAGGUGGCAAGCGUUAUCCGGAAUUAUUGGGCGUAAAGCGCGCGUAGGCGGUUUUUUAAGUCUGAUGUGAAAGCCCACGGCUCAACCGUGGAGGGUCAUUGGAAACUGGAAAACUUGAGUGCAGAAGAGGAAAGUGGAAUUCCAUGUGUAGCGGUGAAAUGCGCAGAGAUAUGGAGGAACACCAGUGGCGAAGGCGACUUUCUGGUCUGUAACUGACGCUGAUGUGCGAAAGCGUGGGGAUCAAACAGGAUUAGAUACCCUGGUAGUCCACGCCGUAAACGAUGAGUGCUAAGUGUUAGGGGGUUUCCGCCCCUUAGUGCUGCAGCUAACGCAUUAAGCACUCCGCCUGGGGAGUACGACCGCAAGGUUGAAACUCAAAGGAAUUGACGGGGACCCGCACAAGCGGUGGAGCAUGUGGUUUAAUUCGAAGCAACGCGAAGAACCUUACCAAAUCUUGACAUCCUUUGACAACUCUAGAGAUAGAGCCUUCCCCUUCGGGGGACAAAGUGACAGGUGGUGCAUGGUUGUCGUCAGCUCGUGUCGUGAGAUGUUGGGUUAAGUCCCGCAACGAGCGCAACCCUUAAGCUUAGUUGCCAUCAUUAAGUUGGGCACUCUAAGUUGACUGCCGGUGACAAACCGGAGGAAGGUGGGGAUGACGUCAAAUCAUCAUGCCCCUUAUGAUUUGGGCUACACACGUGCUACAAUGGACAAUACAAAGGGCAGCGAAACCGCGAGGUCAAGCAAAUCCCAUAAAGUUGUUCUCAGUUCGGAUUGUAGUCUGCAACUCGACUACAUGAAGCUGGAAUCGCUAGUAAUCGUAGAUCAGCAUGCUACGGUGAAUACGUUCCCGGGUCU
rnacentral:rRNA from 1 species